rnacentral:tRNA from 1 species
GGAAGGGUGGCCGAGUGGUUUAAGGCACCGGUCUUGAAAACCGGCGUGCCCGCAAGGGCACCGUGGGUUCGAAUCCCACCCCUUCCGCCC